CUCCAGAGUCCGCGCCCGGCAGCUGCCUGGAAACUGUGUGGGCUCCAGGAGCGACCUCGGCGAUUACUGGCUGGGGAAUAUUCUGGGUUUCAGCUUGCAGUACACAGCGACUGGACCCCUCGUGGGGAGCUGGUACUCGUGCGUGUCCUUCGCUGCGUCCGCCUCCCUCGCCUCUCCCGCCUCUCCGUGCCCUUCACGCGCCGAAGAUGAAGAUGGGUCCCCCUGUUGCUCAGACCCUCUGAGCCCUCUCCAGUUUUUCAGCUUCCAGCACAAACUCGCAAAGCAGACUCCAGGGAGCUUCCAAGCUCCUGACCUCGGGCUGGCACUGCAUCCCUGUCCUCUUGUUUCAUCUCCCUGGGCUGAGCAGCUCCUGGAUCCUGGUGUGCAGAUAGCCAUUGGACUCUGCCGCCUCUCCGGUCUUGUAAGCUACCUAAUAAAUCCCCUUCUGUAACUAUAUAUGUGUUUUCUGUUGCUUCUGCACUUCUACAGAACCCUGAUAUGGCUUAGAGCAAUACAAAUUAAUUUGCUGAAUGUACAUGCUUGUAUUUCCCAUCUUUUACUAUGGGACUAGUUUUAAAAAGCAGUUUUAUGAAACCACGAGAUAUUUAAGUUCCUGUAUCUGAUUUACAGUGGUAGCUCUGUUCACAAACUUAAUUUGUUCCACGAUUUUGGAAAAGGUGGGCAUGUUUGUGUUCCUAUGGGAAAGAUGGCCACGGUCAUGUUUGUUACCCAGUGUGGAGUUUGGAAACAAAAACAAAAUUUUGCCAAAUGCUUUUAUGAACCACGUUGUUCUCGAACAAAAGAACUUGUGAACUGAGGUACCACUGUAUUUUACUUAACAUUAUGAUUGCAAGGUGAAUCCAUUUUCCUAAAAAUGACUCCUGUAUCCUUCUUUAUAUUACAGUAGUACUUCACUGUGUAUAAACACCAUAUUUUCUUUAUCCAUUCAUCUACCAAGGGACAUAUAGGCAACUUCCAAGAUUUAGCUAUUGUGAAUUGUGGUGCUAUAAGCAUGGGCAUGCAUGGAUCACUGUAAUAUGAUGACUAACUCAGGAAAAUACUGAGGAGGGUAAUAGGUCAAAUGGAAUUUCUUGUUUUCGUUUUUUGAGGAAUCUUCACACUAAUUUCCAUAAUGGUUAUACUAGUUUACAUUCCAACCAGCAGUGAUAAAGGGUUCCUUUUCCCUGAAGCCCGCCCGGCAUUUGUUGUUAUGUGAUUUCUUGAUCAUGACCAUUCUUUUUGGAGUAAGAUGGCAUCUCAGUGUUGUUUUAAUUUGUAUUUCUGUAAUGGCAAAAGAUGUUGAUGUUACUGGUAUAGAGGAAAGCUAUUGAUUUUCAUGUGUUGACUUUGUAUCUUGCUACUGCACUGAAUAUAGUUAUUAUUUUAGGAGACUUUUAGUGGAUAUUUUUGGAUCUUCUAUGUAGAAGAUCAUGUCAUCUGCAAAUAAUGAUAAUUUGACUUCUUACUUUCUUACACAUAUUUCUUUUAUUUCUUUCUCUUUCCUAAAUUGUUUUGACUAAUGUUUCAAGAUCUAUUUUGAACAGUA
rnacentral:lncRNA from 1 species